rnacentral:rRNA from 1 species
UACGGAGGGUGCAAGCGUUAUCCGGAUUCACUGGGUUUAAAGGGUGCGUAGGAGGGCAGGUAAGUCAGUGGUGAAAUCUUUGGGCUUAACCCGAAAACUGCCAUUGAUACUAUCUGUCUUGAAUAUUGUGGAGGUGAGCGGAAUAUGUCAUGUAGCGGUGAAAUGCUUAGAUAUGACAUAGAACACCGAUUGCGAAGGCAGCUCGCUACGCAUAUAUUGACUCUGAGGCACGAAAGCGUGGGGAUCAAACAGG